rnacentral:tRNA from 1 species
UUGGCUCAGUGGUUAAGUGCUUGGCUGCUAACCAAAAGAUCGGUAGUUUGAAUCCACCA